GCCCUUGUAGCUCAGUGGACAGAGCGCUGGUCUUCGGAACCAGGCGGCGCGGGUUCGACUCCUGCCAAGGGUG
rnacentral:tRNA from 1 species